UACGAAGGGGGCUAGCGUUGCUCGGAAUCACUGGGCGUAAAGCGCACGUAGGCGGAUUGCUAAGUCAGGGGUGAAAUCCUGGAGCUCAACUCCAGAACUGCCUUUGAUACUGGCGAUCUCGAGUCCGGGAGAGGUGAGUGGAACUGCGAGUGUAGAGGUGAAAUUCGUAGAUAUUCGCAAGAACACCAGUGGCGAAGGCGGCUCACUGGCCCGGUACCGACGCUGAGGUGCGAAAGCGUGGGGAGCAAACAGG
rnacentral:rRNA from 1 species